rnacentral:tRNA from 1 species
GGCGGAUGUAGCCAAGUGGAUCAAGGUA